UACGGAGACCCCGAGCGUUGUUCGGAAUCACUGGGCUUAAAGCGGGUGUAGGCGGAACGGCAAGUACCUUGUGAAAGCCCCGGUCUCAACCCGGGAAUCGCUUGGUAGACUGCCGUUCUUGAGGCAGGCAGGGGUUACUGGAACCUUAGGUGGAGCGGUGAAAUGCGUAGAGAUCUAAGGGAACGCCUGUGGCGAAAGCGGGUGACUGGGCCUGUUCUGACGCUGAGACCCGAAAGCGUAGGGAG
rnacentral:rRNA from 1 species